rnacentral:rRNA from 1 species
AGAGUUUGAUCCUGGCUCAGGAUGAACGCUGGCGGCGUGCCUAAUACAUGCAAGUCGAACGCUGGAAAUCUAGCUUGCUAGAUUGAAGGAGUGGCGAACGGGUGAGUAAUACAUAAGCAACCUACCCACGAAGACUGGGAUAAUCUCUGGAAACGGGGACUAAUACCGGAUAGGUAAUCGGAAGGCAUCUUCUGAUUAUUAAAGGUUAAAAACACUGGUGGAUGGGCUUAUGGCGCAUUAGUUAGUUGGUGAGGUAACGGCCCACCAAGACGAUGAUGCGUAGCCGGCCUGAGAGGGUGAACGGCCACAUUGGGACUGAGACACGGCCCAGACUCCUACGGGAGGCAGCAGUAGGGAAUUUUCGGCAAUGGGGGAAACCCUGACCGAGCAACGCCGCGUGAGUGAUGACGGCCUUCGGGUUGUAAAGCUCUGUUGUAAGGGAAGAACGGUAGAUAGAGAAUAUCUAAGUGACGGUACCUUACCAGAAAGCCACGGCUAACUACGUGCCAGCAGCCGCGGUAAUACGUAGGUGGCGAGCGUUAUCCGGAAUUAUUGGGCGUAAAGGGUGCGUAGGCGGCCUGUUAAGUAAGUGGUUAAAUUGUUGGGCUCAACCCAAUCCAGCCACUUAAACUGGCAGGCUAGAGUAUUGGAGAGGCAAGUGGAAUUCCAUGUGUAGCGGUAAAAUGCGUAGAUAUAUGGAGGAACACCAGUGGCGAAGGCGGCUUGCUAGCCAAAGACUGACGCUCAUGCACGAAAGCGUGGGGAGCAAAUAGGAUUAGAUACCCUAGUAGUCCACGCCGUAAACGAUGAAUACUAAGUAUUGGGGAAACUCAGUGCUGCAGCUAACGCAAUAAGUAUUCCGCCUGUGGAGUAUGCACGCAAGUGUGAAACAUAAAGGAAUUGACGGGGGCCCGCACAAGCGGUGGAGUAUGUGGUUUAAUUCGACGCAACGCGAAGAACCUUACCAGGCCUUGACAUCCCUUGCAAAGCUGUAGAGAUACAGUAGAGGUUAUCAAGGAGACAGGUGGUGCAUGGUUGUCGUCAGCUCGUGUCGUGAGAUGUUGGGUUAAGU